rnacentral:rRNA from 1 species
UAUCUCUGUAGAGUCUGCAUAUCAAUAAGCGGAGGAAAAGAAACUAACAAGGAUUCCCCUAGUAACGGCGAGUGAAGCGGGAAGAGCUCAAAUUUGAAAUCUUCAAGGUUUUACCUUGACGAAUUGUAGUUUAAAGAAGUGUUUUCUGUUAGAGAGGUGGUAAAAGUUCUUUGGAAUAGGACAUCAUAGAGGGUGAGAAUCCCGUAUUUGACCAUUUCUUCCGGCUGUGUGAUACACUUUCAAAGAGUCGGAUUGUUUGGGAAUGCAGUCCAAAAUGGGUGGUAAAUUUCAUCUAAAGCUAAAUAUUGGCGAGAGACCGAUAGCGAACAAGUACCGUGAGGGAAAGAUGAAAAGAACUUUGAAAAGAGAGUUAAACAGUACGUGAAAUUGUCAAAAGGGAAGCGUUUGACACCAGUGUUGUUUUUCCGAAAAUCAAUUAAGAAUGUUUUAUUUUUGAGGAGUUAUGACUUCAUCGGCUUGCUCCUUUCUUUAUGGAACUUUCUUAAUGCACUUUUCGGUUAACAAGUCAACAUCAAUUUCUUUUGUUGUAAAAGAGUAUGAGGAAGGUGGCUUUCUUUUCGGAGAAAGUGUUUAUAGCCUUUGACUUCUGCAAUCGGAGAGAUUGAGGUCUGCAGCGUAGAUCCUUCGGGGUUAGAUGCAUUUGUGCUAAGUUAUAGCCUUUCAUAGACAACUUGUUGACUAUGAUCAGUCAUGUAGCUUACUCGCUUAUGUCAUUUUACCUACGCUUAGGAUGUUGAGUAGCGACAUACGCAC